rnacentral:lncRNA from 1 species
CCUCUUCAAAAUCCUACACAAACCAAUUCCUUUUUUUAGUACAUCAAAACUAAAAAUUGAAGAACAGAGUUCUCUCUGAAAAAAUAUAUUACCUCUCUCUUGUUUUCUACCUCGUCCCGCUGCUCCAAACAUCCCAACAGUUCCGCCAACCACCACGCAUCUGCUGAAUUCAUCUGUUAGUAACCUAUUGUUAGGUUUGUUUGUUUUAGUCAAAAGGAAUUUGGGGGUUUUUUAUACUUGAAAUUUGUUCUCUGUUUAGUAAAAUGAUCAAGUUGAUUGAUUCUUCCAGGUUAAUGAUGAACUUCGUUGUAAAUUGAUGAAAUUGCUUGAUUCUUCUUUGUUGUGUGAAGAUCGUCAUUGAAGCAAAGAGAAAAUCCAUGAGGCUAAUGUCCAAACUCCAAAGGUUCUUGCUUUGGCAUUAAUUAUAGUGAAAUUAUGCUUUGAGGAGUAUUAAUUAAUCUUUGAAUUUCCCUUCAUUAUGCUUUUUAUACUUCUAAAUGUUAAAACUACUCAAUAAGUAGCUUUCUAAUUUGUCCACAAAUCUUAGCUCAACCGGCAGAAAUGCCGAAAUUGCUAGGUCGGAUGUAUGACCCGAGUUCCAACCCCGGUUCUUGUACUUUGUGUGUGUGAGUUUUCAAUGCUUAUCAUUUCGUCUAUGUACCCGGAAAAAAGAAAAAAAAAGCUUUCUAAUUUUAGUAAAAGAAAUAGCUUUCUAAUUGUUGACCACUCAAAAUCUUUUAAUGUUCCAUGCUAACUUACAAAAAUGUAAUUCUGUAUGCUUCACUUCAGAUGUUAUUUUUCUAAAAAAAAGCAAAUUUUAUUUGAGUUUGUGUUUGAUUUUUCUAUGUUUUUUUACUGUUUGUUUUUGUUGUCCAGUGAGUUCAUGACAUGGUUUGUUUGUGCAACAUUUGAAGGCAAUGUUCCAAAAUGGAACCGCGGUGGGACAGAGCCAGACACUCGUUUUCUAAUGCUACUAUUUCUGGCUUCUUGAUUUCAUAGCAAAUGGGGGACACUAGACGCGCGCGGUGGCGGAAAGCACAAUUGAAACCAAGGACUUAGUAGGUAUGAAUAAAGUUGUGAGAUACCCCUAUAAAUCAAAUAACUGUUUUCAUGACUUACAAUUUUUUAUAUUCUUUUUUACUUUUUUUAUAAUUAUUAACUAUUAAUGGAAAAAUACAAUCGAAGAUAAAAACAAAAACCAAGCCACUCUUAGAGGGGUAAUGGUGAGUUGAUGAACAAUGAAAGCACCAGUUAAAGUGGCAAAACAAGCUUUGAAACUCUCCCUAAUCAUUAUGAUUUGUGAGUUUUACAGUUUUAUUAGUACUAUAGCAAGUGGAUCUUAACAAGAAGGUAAAACCCUUGUGUUUACAGCCAUUUUCUUUUGCUUCUCCACUUUACUUCCUCUCAAAUUCCUUGCAAUUUGGCUUUUCCCGUGAGUUUUACUAAUACUAUAUCCAUGGAUUUGACUACAAUACUCCAAGAAUCACAUAGUAGAGUAUUGUUACGGGCAAUGCUACCACCAUUCCAAAUAUAACCCUACACAAAUAUCAAAUUUUGUUUUAGUAUUAUUUUACUAAAAUAGAGGGAUUUUCUUUUAAUAGAGAUGUAAAUGGAGAAAGAGAUUAAAAUAAGACUUACCCAGUACUGAGUAUAUCUGGAUGGACAUUGUAUUCUUUGGCAUAUACAAAGGGAACCAGACCUUGGGGAAGGGCAGCCUACGAAAAUUAAACUUUAUUAUGUUAAUAAACAACUAAGAAUUAUUAAGGACAUUGAUUGUAAUUUGACAAAGUGAAUUUGAUUUGACCUGAACAAUUGCAACAUGUAAGAGAACUCCUCGGAGACCAACUAGUAUUGACGUUGCCGCAAUCACGGCUGGACCGGUCAAGAACCUAACAACCAUAGAAUAUGUUGCAACUUUUUUUCCACAUGGAAUCAGCUUAGGCUGUAAUGCCAUGAACAAACCUAGACUGAACAUGGCCAUUCCAAUACCAGCAUUAGAGAGUAUAGAGAUAGAACCUUCUAUGAUCAAGGGCAUUUCCAUGUGCAACCUGCAAUGAUUGAUUGACAAUGUAAACAAUAAAUAUUUUUUCAUGAUCCAAGAGUUAUAAUUGAUGGAAGAUUUUAUACCCAAAUGAUAUAAGAGACCAAACAAGUCCUAUAAGACUUGCGUAGGUAUUAGGGUUUCUGAUGAGUUUUCUCCAAACCAUGGUGAGGAUGAGCCUUGUUAUCACACUUGCUGGUGGCAUCUGUUUGUUUAUGUUUACAUCCCCUCCUUCCAAGUCCACCUUCUUCUGGUUGCUAAUAUAUGGAGACUUUGUUCCUUCCUCAACUUCAACACCAGGACUCAUGUUCUCAGUCAAAUCAUUUCCACCUGCAUUUAAAAUUUCCAAAACUUGUGUUACAAAAUUAAUCAACAAAACAUAUUAGGUCCACUACAACUUCCACAACCAAUGCUCUCUUUCUUGUUUGUGCCAGCACUUGUAGAACCAGAAAGCAUUGGAUUUGAAGGAGGUAUUAAACAUCUCACCACUAAUACUCUGCCUUCUGCUUUUCUUAUUCAUCUUCAAAUUCUCAUCUUCUGAAUUUGAAGACAGAGGUGUUGCCCCUUUGGAAGAUUGCAUGGAAUAAAUAUCGCCAUUAGUACCAUUACCAUAACUCUGAAAACUAUUUGUGUAAAACUCGGUUUGGGUAAAACUAGAAGAAGAUCUCAUUGGUGUUGGUUCUCUUGAUGAUUGAACCGAACAUAUCUCAAAACCGGUAAGAUUUGAAGCUUGUGGCGUCGUAUUAUUUGAAUGAGAUUUGUUAAACGACCCCGAUACCGUAGAGUUAGUAGUUGAUCGUUUAAUAACAACACGAAGUUUACCACCUUCUCCUACCUCUGAAUCAGUUUCAAGUGGUUCUCUAUCGUUAAGUGAAACAACAUCAGAAUCAACUUUGAAUGAAGUUAUAGAAGCUGCAGUUUCCGGAAACUGUUCUGAAAUAAGAAGUUUAGCAGCUCUAUAUUCAAACAAGAAAAGCAAAACAGUAUACCAAAUAACACUUUGCAGAACAACAAUUUGUACCAUGAGAUUUCCUGAGAAAUCACCAUACAUAGCAUUUAAAAGAGGGACUCCCAUGAUAAGUGUGUUAGGAAGACUUGACAGAGAGAAAAGUGUAAUUGCCCAAUCAAAACUAUCUUGUUUUUUUGUGAAAUUGUUCCAUAGAAAAAGAGCACCAAGGAUUACUACUUUUUGAAGGGAAUCAGCUGCUAAGAAAUGGUAAUUCAUACCAUAAGGAUCAUUGGAAGAGAUCAAAUGGAAAGAUAGUAACGGGACUGCAAAAACCGAGACGAAACGGUUUAUACCAGAACAUUGCUCUAGGGUGAAGAGUUUCCACCAUCGAACCGAACCGUAUGCUAAUAUCAUAGCAACAUAUAAUGGCACAAUUGCCGCAAAAACAUCAUAUAUAUCCUUACCGGUAAUCAUGGAUAUAGAUAGUUAAAGGUAGAUUCGACACAGAAAUUAAAUAAGUGUUUGGUUUGUUUAUAUUCCGUAUAUAUUUAAGACGGUUGCAAAUGCACGAGUAUCUUGUCAAUUUAAGACGGAAAAGAAGGAAACACUGCUGAAAGAGGGUGACAACUAGUUUUUAAUUAAAAUGAGAUUUAUAGAUUUCUAUAUAAGCAAAAAGAAACUAAAUAUAUGAGGGUUGGAUUUUCUGAGCAAGAUGUGUAUGAAUAAUAAUUGGGCAGUAGCAGGAAAGUGCUUUUUGAGAAACUAUUAUUAAAUAAUUGUUGUAAUGUGGAGAUUAGUUUAGUUAGUUAGAGGUGACAUAAAUAGCAUUAUGCAAAUAUUGUAAAAAUGACAACGAUAAUUAACGGUUUAAUUAACUGGUACGAUCUGUCAUUUUAUAUUUUUAUUAUUUGUUACUAAUUUGUUUUCACUUCUACAUUUAGAUUUGAUUCCUAUCUGGAAGGAUUGCAUUUGUUAGAGUUGGAGUUGUGCCGUGAAUUAUAAAACCACACAAAAACCAGAACUGCGCCGUCUUCUACCUCGCAAGUGUGUCGUUCCUUCUACCUCGCCGUGCUGCCCCAAACAUCCCAACAAUCCCGCCAACCACCAAGUUGUUUGAUUCUUCCAGGUUAAUGAUGAAGUUUGCUGUAAAAUGAUGGAAUUGAUUGAUUCUUCUUUGUUUUGUGGAGAUCAUCAUUGAAACAAAGAGAAGAUCC